CGGAAAAUUACCGCCAGUGGCGUACACACAUGGAAGAAAAGCACAGUUCACUGAGGUCUCUGAGUUUAGUUCGUAGUCGGUGGCGCUGGCGUCAUUUUCUUUUUCACUUCCACUCGCAUGUUCAGCGGCAUGCUUUGUUCCAUCUCUCUUGUUCUUGUAGUAGUGAUACGCUGGAGGAACAGGUAAUAUUUAAAUGUCGAGUAUUUUUAACGUUUGAUAUGUUUAUAUAGAAGAAUGUACCAGUUCAAAGAAGAAAAUCUCCAGUUUGACGUUUCAUCGUUUUGCAAAAGAUGAAGCAGCCGAUUGACACAGCGAUGCUGGCGAUGCUCAUGCCUUACCUUCCUGGGAUUUGUUCACUAUGUAUGAACGUUGUUUGUGUUGUCUUUAUGCCUCAUAUUUCGGAACUUUUAGUCCUGUAUCAUAUUACUUUGAGCUCAGUCAGUAAGAAUAUUGAAAAAGGAAAAAUGAUUUUUAUGACUGACAGGCUGAUUUUUUUUGACAGAAAAAUUUAUUUGUUAAAAAUUAGAUAAUUACAGCUGACUUUGCAGCAGCUACACAAGGUCAUCAGGCUAUUGAGUUCCUGCGUGUUUAUAUUCUCAAUCAACUGUUUUAUAAUACAAUACGUUUCGUGGUUGAUUACACGACUUUAAGCACGUAUUUCGAAAUAAUCUUGUUAAGAAGGUUGAGCUUGGCAAUAAAUACAUUUUUUUUCAAUAAACCUAUGAAAAAAUAAUUUAUGCAUAUUCAUGCGCUUCAUUAGGCACGACGGAAAAGGUGCUCCACAUGCGUUCAGGCGAAAAUUUGUAAAUUCAAACUAAAUCAGUCACCUUUUUAAUUUAUGCAGUCAUUUACAAUCAGACUGAAUUACAAAUUUCUAUUCAAUGAACAAUACUCUAAGGAAUUCCCUUUGGAAUAUCCAAAAAUUCAAUGAGCUAUCAAAUAACCAGGAAGUUUGUCACGAAUUCUACAAACACCUGUCAACAAUGCCAAUCGAUUUAUUUUUUCCUAAGAGCAAGAAAAAAUGAAAGCGAAGAUGAUCCAGAAGAUUUUGAAUUUUCACAGUGAAAAAUAUAAAUUUCUAUGAAUAAAAAAUCAAAUUUCCAGUUAUAAAAAAAUGAAUCUUACACUUUGCAUUAUAAAAUUUUAAAACAUCACAUUUUCCUUCCCUCUUUCCAUCGCUACACUCUUGAAAUUGUCUUCAAAUUUUCUUCGCUCGUGUAACUUGUACAUAUUUUGGUAGCAUCGUUUCAUCAGUUUUUCAGUUAAUGGUCAAAUAUGUACUUUGUGCAAGGAAGUAUAAGACUUGGAAUCGAUUGCUCUGGGACCAGUACAACAACCGCCAAGCUCAAGUACCAGCGGAUUUUGUAAUCGCUCAGUAAAUCAUUGAUAAGGCUUACGAAUUUGACCAUGGCAAUGGAAUAUAAAUAAGAUGAUGAGCUUCUCAGAGAACCUACCAAUAUUAUAUAUAUACAA